rnacentral:rRNA from 1 species
CAGCAGCCGCCACGGUAAUACGAAGGGGGCUAGCGUUGUUCGGAUUUACUGGGCGUAAAGGGCGCGUAGGCGGGCGAAUAAGUCAGGGGUGAAAUCCCAAGGCUCAACCUUGGAACUGCCUUUGAUACUGUUUGUCUUGAGUUCGAGAGAGGUAAGUGGAACUGCGAGUGUAGAGGUGAAAUUCGUAGAUAUUCGCAAGAACACCAGUGGCGAAGGCGGCUUACUGGCUCGAAACUGACGCUGAGGCGCGAAAGCGUGGGGAGCAAACAGGAUUAGAUACCCCCGUAGUCCCUGUCUCUUAUAC